GCAGUUCACCACAAGAUGGCGCUAAGACCUCAAAUCAAAUCCAAAAAGAAAAACCCUCAGCUCUGACCACGAAUGUUCCUCCUCUAAGUGAAAGGGACACCGGAUAUCCGGACCAUGGGUUGUAACGGGAAGCCAGACCGCCUGAGCUACGGUAAAUGGACCCGAACAUGAUCCGUGUCUUGAAGUGCACCAAGAUUUCAACAUAUUUUGUUCACUUCUGCUAUUUUGCUGUAGAUGACAGUGAAAACUGACGUGCAGAAAUGACUUGCAAGUGUCACUGCCCAUAUCUUGUGUAACACCAGGCCAUCCUUGCAAAAUGACAAGAGUUCAUUUCAAUACACUCCAUGUGUGAAAGUUUAAUUGAUGCGUUACGCAGAGGGAUCAAAUAUUUCCUUACUUGAUACAGAACACUGUAAUGAUGUAUAAUUAACAAAUCAAUUUAUACAUUAAUAUGUAAAUUAAGAACUUUACUUGCCACUGGGUUUUUACACAAUUUUUGGAACCUGAUGGGAAAAAAGUUGAACGUUUAAGUGCCGUUUGGGACAAAAUUGUGAUUAAGGUGGUUUAGUUGCCUCUCACGUUAAAAUAAUUUAAAAAAUAUAAAGAUUUCAUCACUGUUUCAAAAAAUAAAUGAGUUGCUUUACCACUG